GCAAGAAGAAGACGCAAUGGCAAAAACUACAAAAGCGCAACGGUUGCAAUUGUGACUGUUGCUUCUUCUUCUCGCGGCCCGAUUCCAUCUCACUUACUCACUAACUCACACAAACGCGCGGUAAUUACAAUUAAAAGUAGUUUUUUACAGCCGAAAAGAAACAAAGAAAUCGAUAGAUAUUGCUGGAAAUGAGGGGAAAAAUCUCUGCGCCUUGGUAAUUGCACCAGUAAAAAAAAGAAAAAAGACGAAGAUGGAAUGGAAUGGAAAAAAAUUGUUACAGCCGCCGAGUGGAAGAAGAAGAGAUGCACAACAGACGACGCGACGCGUCGAGAGCGGCGACAAGCGCAUGAAUUUUACGCUCUCUCAUCAAUUGCGCGUCGUAGCGGCGGUGUGUGUGUAAGAGCAGACCAGCAUAUCAGAGAAAGAGUGGCCCGGCUAGAAAAACGUGUGUCCAAGCACUGCCAACUGUGAGUGUGUGCACCGAAUGAGAAGAGAGCGAGUGGAGCGAGGAAGAUGGAGGCAGACAGAUGAGUUGACACAGCGACCGAAGCAGAGCAAAAACCAAUCAAAGAGGAAGAGCCGCAAAUGGGGAUACCGUUGCAUAUGUGCACUGUAUCUAUGUGAGUGCUACUUUAGACUAUCAAUAUAGAAAUAUUGAUGACAGCUACAGUGCAGCUUGGACCAAGAACACCAAAUUUGUUAUAAAAAGAAAAAGAUUGCACUCGAGUUGUUGGUUGUUUUGCAGCACAGAUUAAAUUUGUAGAAAAAACGAGGAGAAAUUUUAUCUGCAACAGAAUCGUCUUCUCAAACCUGCGGAUGUUUUGCUAGAUUUUCGAGUAGUUUUCCUGUUUAUUUCUUAAAUUAAAAUCGAGCCAUUGAAAUAAACCUAAUCGAAAAAUAAGAC
ensembl:ncRNA lncRNA:CR44218 long non-coding RNA:CR44218